UUGGAGGGCAAGUCUGGUGCCAGCAGCCGCGGUAAUUCCAGCUCCAAUAGCGUAUAUUAAAGUUGUUGCAGUUAAAAAGCUCGUAGUUGAAUUUCGGGAUCAGAGUGUCGGUCGUGCCUCGGUACGCACUGGUAUUAUUGGUUCCUACCUUCUGAAGAACCGCGAUGUCAUUAAUUUGGUGUCGUGGGGAAUCAGGACUGUUACUUUGAAAAAAUUAGAGUGUUUAAAGCAAGCUAACGCUUGAAUACAUUAGCAUGGAAUAAUGAAAUAGGACGUUCGAUCCUGUUUUGUUGGUUUCUAGGAUUGACGUAAUGAUUAAUAGGGAUAGUUGGGGGCAUUAGUAUUCAAUUGUCAGAGGUGAAAUUCUUGGAUUUAUUGAAGACUAACUACCGCGAAAGCAUUUGCAAAGGAUGUUUUCAUUAAUCAAGAACGAAAGUUAGGGGAUCGAAGACGAUCAGAUACCGUCGUAGUCUUAACCAUAAACUAUGCCGACUAGGGAUCGGAUGAUGUUAAUUUUUUAAUGACUCAUUCGGCGCCUUACGGGAAACCAAAGUGUUUGGGUUC
rnacentral:rRNA from 1 species